rnacentral:tRNA from 1 species
UGAUUAUUAUGUUGGCUUUAAAUAUUUUAUUACUUUUAUUGAUGAUUGGUCUCGUGCUACUUGAGUAUAUUUAU